AUUAGUAGCAACAUGGUAUUUUUAAAAAUCGUUUUUCUUUUAAACUCUUUGUAAGCAGGGUCGGGCCUGGUUAGUACUUGAAUGGGAGACCACCUAGGAAGACCAGGUGCUGUAGGUG
ensembl:rRNA 5S_rRNA 5S ribosomal RNA